rnacentral:snRNA from 1 species
AACCUGCAGUAUACCGCG